rnacentral:lncRNA from 1 species
UCUUUUUCACUAUGGACGCACAAGAACACCACCACCUCCAAGAAAUCAAACCUACCUCGCCGGCGACUAGCCGGAGAUAGCAGAUUCCGGCGGCGGCGGUGGGCACAGUAGUAGAUCAUAACAUAACUAGCUUAGCUAGACCUCGACGUGGCAGUAGGUGGUAGUCUGGAACCUGAAGCCGCUGGCGCCGGGGGAGCCAUUGCCGCCGGCGGUGACGAGGAAGGCCGGGCAGGUGACGAAGAGGUGGUAGUGGCCGGAGAUCCAGCUGCCGACCUUCCACCGGACGCGGCCGUCGAUCUUGACCUGGAGGAUGAGGUAGCCCGCCUGGCAAUCCUGCGAGAUGGCGUCGGCGAGGUAGGGCGCGAAGGGGACGCUGGGGCCGGCGAGCACCGGCGACCAGACGUCGACGUCGCCGUGGCCCUGGUACACCGGCGGGAGCGAGGCGGCGACGGUGAUCUGCUGGUACUUGUAGGAGGCGUAGACGUCGAGGCGGUCGUAGUAGACGCCGACGCGGUCGUUGGGGUUGCGGGAGGCGACGGUGACCUGGAUGGUGGUGGAGAGGACGCCGCCGGCGGUGGAGGAGGAGUUGGAGAGGUCGAGCUGGCGGAGGGUGGCGUCCUGGAGGUAGAAGCGAGGGUGGGUGGGGCGGAGGACGAGGUAGACGAUGAGGGCGAUGAUGCCGACGAGGAUGGCGAGGACGACGAGGACGGUGAUGAAUCGCCGGCAUCCCUGCCGGAAGUCGUCGUCGCCGUGCUUGCCGCAAUCCUUC